UACGGAGGGGGCUAGCGUUGUUCGGAAUUACUGGGCGUAAAGCGCGCGUAGGCGGAUCUGCAAGUCGGGGGUGAAAUCCCGAGGCUCAACCUCGGAACUGCCUUCGAUACUGCGGGUCUCGAGUCCGGGAGAGGUGAGUGGAAUUCCUAGUGUAGAGGUGAAAUUCGUAGAUAUUAGGAAGAACACCAGUGGCGAAGGCGGCUUACUGGUCCGGAACUGACGCUGAGGUGCGAAAGCGUGGGGAGCAAACAGG
rnacentral:rRNA from 1 species